GAUGAACGCUAGCUACAGGCUUAACACAUGCAAGUCGAGGGGCAUCAGGAAGAAAGCUUGCUUUCUUUGCUGGCGACCGGCGCACGGGUGAGUAACACGUAUCCAACCUGCCCUUUACUCGGGGAUAGCCUUUCGAAAGAAAGAUUAAUACCCGAUAGCAUAGUGAUUCCGCAUGGUUUCAUUAUUAAAGGAUUCCGGUAAAGGAUGGGGAUGCGUUCCAUUAGGUUGUUGGUGAGGUAACGGCUCACCAAGCCUUCGAUGGAUAGGGGUUCUGAGAGGAAGGUCCCCCACAUUGGAACUGAGACACGGUCCAAACUCCUACGGGAGGCAGCAGUGAGGAAUAUUGGUCAAUGGGCGCUAGCCUGAACCAGCCAAGUAGCGUGAAGGAUGAAGGCUCUAUGGGUCGUAAACUUCUUUUAUAUAAGAAUAAAGUGCAGUAUGUAUACUGUUUUGUAUGUAUUAUAUGAAUAAGGAUCGGCUAACUCCGUGCCAGCAGCCGCGGUAAUACGGAGGAUCCGAGCGUUAUCCGGAUUUGUUGGGUUUAAAGGGAGCGUAGGUGGACUGGUAAGUCAGUUGUGAAAGUUUGCGGCUCAACCGUAAAAUUGCAGUUGAUACUGUCAGUCUUGAGUACAGUAGAGGUGGGCGGAAUUCGUGGUGUAGCGGUGAAAUGCUUAGAUAUCACGAAGAACUCCGAUUGCGAAGGCGGCCUACUGGGCACCAACUGACGCUGAGGCUCGAAAGUGUGGGUAGCAAACAGG
rnacentral:rRNA from 1 species